AACUGAUACUACCUGCGGGAACCUGCGGAGGGAUCAUUAAUGAGAAGCUGCCCCUCGUGGGUAGACCUCCCACCCUCUGUGAACUUACCUUUGUUGCUUUGGCAGGCCCGUCCUCUGGACCGCCGGCUUCGGCUGGCCCGUGCCUGCCAGAGGAUUCCAAACCCUGUCUGUCAGUGUUGUCUGAGUCUAUAUGAAAUCGUUAAAACUUUUAACAACGGAUCUCUAGAUCGGAAGAGCACA
rnacentral:misc_RNA from 1 species